rnacentral:rRNA from 1 species
UACGGGGGGAGCAAGCGUUGUUCGGAUUUACUGGGCGUAAAGGGUGCGUAGGCGGUCAGCACAAGUCAGUUGUGAAAUCUCCGGGCUUAACUCGGAAAGGUCAACUGAUACUGUGCGACUAGAGUGCGGAAGGGGCAACUGGAAUUCUCGGUGUAGCGGUGAAAUGCGUAGAUAUCGAGAGGAACACCUGCGGCGAAGGCGGGUUCCUGGACCAAUACUGACGCUCAUGUGCGAAAGCGUGGGGAGCAAACAGG